AUUGAACGCUGGCGGCAGGCCUAACACAUGCAAGUCGAACGAGUGGCGGACGGGUGAGUCAUGUCUGGGAAACUGCCUGAUGGAGGGGGAUAACUACUGGAAACGGUAGCUAAUACCGCAUACCAUCCGAUGUUCCCAGAUGGGAUUAGCUAGUUGGUGGGGUAACGGCUCGCCAGGGCGACGAUCCAUAGCUGGUCUGAGAGGAUGACCGGCCACACUGGAACUGAGACACGGUCCAGACUCCUAGGGAAGGCAGCAGUGGGGAAUAUUGCACAAUGGGGGCAAGCCUGAUGCAGGAAUGCCGCGUGAAUGAAGAAGGCCUUCGGGUUGUAAAGUGCUUUCAGCGAGGAGGCGUUACCCGCAGAAGAAGCACCGGCUAACUCCGUGCCAGCAGCCGCGGUAAUUC
rnacentral:rRNA from 1 species